rnacentral:rRNA from 1 species
GAUUCGUCACACUAUCAUUAACUGAAUCCAUAGGUUAAUGAGGCGAACCGGGGGAACUGAAACAUCUAAGUACCCCGAGGAAAAGAAAUCAACCGAGAUUCCCCCAGUAGCGGCGAGCGAACGGGGAGGAGCCCAGAGCCUGAAUCAGCAUGUGUGUUAGUGGAAGCGUCUGGAAAGGCGCGCGAUACAGGGUGACAGCCCCGUACACAAAAGCGCAUGUGCUGUGAGCUCGAUGAGUAGGGCGGGACACGUGGUAUCCUGUCUGAAUAUGGGGGGACCAUCCUCCAAGGCUAAAUACUCCUGACUGACCGAUAGUGAACCAGUACCGUGAGGGAAAGGCGAAAAGAACCCCGGCGAGGGGAGUGAAAAAGAACCUGAAACCGUGUACGUACAAGCAGUGGGAGCCCCACCACUAAGCCAGUGGUGAAC